GCUGGCCAGGAUGGGGAAGGGGAGGUGGAGUCUCCAAGAAGGAACUUGACCCGUUAGCAGCCGUAGGCCAUGGCGGCGCGCUCGCCGCCCCCUCCGCCUCCUCCGCGGCUUUCGGGGACCCGGUCCUCACGUGUUGGGCGGGGAGCUGCGGUCCACGCAGUGAGCAGCGAGGCCUCGGGCCUCGGCGGUGAGGCGCGGGAGGGCGUCGUGGACCGAGGCGACAUACCCUGGCCGAGUAGAGAGGGGUCGGGGGGCCAGCGAGGGCCGGGGGGGUCAGCUCCGGCUCAGGCUCCCCUGCUCAGGGCGCCCCCGGGGUCCGAGCGGCUAGAGGGCAUCUCGGUAGAGGAGGUCAUGGUGGCCCGGAUGCAGCUGCUGGAGGAAGAGCUGAGCAGCCUCAAGGAGGAGCUGGCCCUGUGUCAGGCUGAUAAAGAAUUUGUAUGGUCUUUGUGGAAACGUCUCCAGGUGACAAACCCAGAUAUCACACAAACAGUCAGUUUGAUUGUGGAAAGAGAAAAAAAGAACUCUGAAGCUAAAGACAGAAAAGUUUUAGAAAUUCUGCAAGUCAAGGAUGCUAAAAUACAAGAAUUGGAACAGAGAGAAUCAGGACUAAAACAGGACAUAAAUGACCUUGUAAAGCGGAAGAUUGCAGUAGAUGAAGAAAAUGCUUUCUUAAGGAAAGAAUUCAGUGACUUGCAGAAGAAAUUUAAAGAUAAAAGGCAAGAAGUUAAGGACAGUAAAGAGUGUAUACAGAAUAAGGAAGAACAAAACAGACUGGUUAUAAAAGACCUGGAAGAGGAAAAUGAGAAAUUAAGUACCCGCUGUGUUGACCUGCUAAAUGACCUGGAGAGACUGAGGAAGCAGGAAGCUCAUUGGAAAAAAGAAAAAUAUAGCAUUGAUGCAAAAAUAAAGGCCUUUGAAGACAAUUUAAUGGAAGCAAGGAAAGAAAUUGAAGUUUCACAGAGUAAAUACAAUGCUCUCUCAUUACAGUUGACGAAUAAACAGACUGAACUUAUCCAGAAGGAUAUGGAUAUUACCCUGGUCAGGAAGGAGCUGCAGGAACUGCAGAAUCUUUACAAACAGAACAGUGCACAUACAGCACAGCAAGCAGAGCUGAUCCAACAGCUUCAGGUUCUGAAUAUGGACACGCAAAAAGUACUGAGAAAUCAGGAAGACGUUCAUACAGCGGAAAGUAUAUCAUAUCAAAAACUUUACAAUGAGUUACAUAUUUGUUUUGAAACCACAAAAUCAAGUGAAGCUAUGCUCCGGCAAAGUGUUGUUAGCCUUCAGGAUCAGCUAUUUCAAAAAGAGCAAGAAAAUGCUAAGUUAAAAGAAAAGCUUCAGGAAUCAACAGGAGCACCUUAUUCUUUACCUCAAGAAAGCGAUUCAGAUCACUCAGAACAGGUAUUUCAACGGCCAUCUUUAUCGAGUUUGGAAACCUUAAUGGUGUCUCAGAAGUCUGAAAUUGAGUAUUUACAGGAGAGACUAAAAAUAGCAAAUGAAAAACUGUCAGAGAACAGAUUGAUCAACCAGGGUUCCUCAGAAAAGAGCAUCUGUACAAAUGUUGAAGGGAAACAAAAGGAACCACCUGUGAAACGUUCAAGGUCUUUGUCCCCAAAGAGCUCUUUUACAGACUCAGAGGAGCUAAAGAAGCUGAGAAAAGCUGAAAGAAAGAUUGAAAACUUAGAGAAGGCACUACAACUAAAGAGCCAAGAAAAUGAUGAGCUAAGAGAUGCCCAUGAAAAACGCAAGGAAAGGCUACAGAUGUUACAGACCAACUACAGGGCAGUAAAAGAGCAAUUAAAACAGUGGGAAGAAGGCAAUGGCAUUCCUAUUUUUAAAAUAAAGAGAGCAGAUCCCCAACAACUUCGACAAGAAGAUUCCGAUGCUGUAUGGAAUGAACUGGCCUAUUUCAAAAGGGAAAACCAGGAGCUAAUGAUUCAAAAGAUGAAUCUUCAGGAAGAAUUGGAUAAACUUAAAGUGCAUAUGUCUAUUGACAAAGCAACAAUACAAGAAUUGAAUACAUGGAUAGCAGAGAAAAAAGAAGAACAACUCUUUAGACAUGGUGAAGAUGAUGGGGUCAAGAAGAGUACUCCAGAGAAGAAUGGGAAAGAAAUGUCAGAGCAGACAUUACAGAAGGUCAUUGAGUUGGAAAAUCGGCUAAAAUCUUUUGAGAAAAGGUCGGGAAAAUUAAAAGAAGGGAAUAAAAAAUUGAUAAAAGAAAAUGAUUUCCUGAAAUCCCUCUUAAAACAGCAGCAAGAAGAGGCAGAGACCAGAGAAAAAGAGCUAGAACAACUACAAAAAGGGAGUAAAGAUGUAGUAAAAAACAAAGCUGAACUUCAAGUAAAAAUCAGUGAGCUCGAGAGAGAAGUCACUUCCCUAAGGAGACAAGUGGCAGAAACUAAUGUGUUGAAAAAUAAAAAAGAAGAGCCGAUGAAUUCAAUGGAGAAAUUGCAGCACUCAGUAGACGAAGCUAAAUCUGAGAUGGACACCACAGAAGUAAGAUCUGGGCAAUAUGAUUGUAAAACAACCACUACCAAGGUUAAAUAUAAAGCCCCCAAGAAGAAGUGCUCUGUGGGUCGUUACCACACUGUUCUCAAUCACUCCAUCAAGGUUAUGAGCAAUGUGUUUGAGAACCUCAGCAAGGACAAGGACUGGGAGGAUGUGAGUGAAAGCAGCAGUGAUUCUGAAAUACAGACCUCUCAAAAUUUAGGAACAAUUAUUGUAGAAACAUCCCAGAAAAUAAGUCCUAUAGAAGAUGGAAGAGACCAGAAAGAAAGUGAUCAAAUAGAAGACAGCCACAUGCAAGGAAAAAGAAUAGUACAAACAUAUUCAAAUACAGAUGGCAAGACCCAAAAGGAUUAUUUUCAUUACAAGAAUGCCAAAAGGCCAACUUUUCAAAAGAAGAAUGGUAAUAUUCAAAAGAGUUCACAUACAACAGGUCCUACCAGAGUUAACAGAGAAAAAUUAAAAAAUAUAUCUGCCCAGAAAUCAAGUAGCAAUAUUAUUUUAUUACGAGGAAGAAUUAUAUCCUUGCAGCAACAAAACAGUGUUCUUCAGAAUGCCAAAAAAACAGCAGAAUUGUCUAUUAAAGAAUAUAAAGAAGUCAAUGAAAAGCUCCUUCAGCAGCAGCAAGUAUCUGAUCAACGAUUUCAGACAAACAGACAGACAAUAAAGAAGCUAAAUUUGGAUUUGGCUGAUCUUCGGAAAGAAAAAGAAGACUUAUUAAAGAAAUUGGAGUCCUCAUCUGAAAUCACAAGUUUGGGAGAAGUUUCCCAGGUAACAAUUCCACGGAUACAAGUUACAUCAGUUGGUCCUUCAAGGAGCAUGGAUUUGGAAAUGAAGCAAUUACAGUGCAAACUAAAGGUGUACUUCUUAGAUAUAUGUGGUUCAUCCAGUAAAUGGAGUGCUCAUGUGCAUUUUGGUUUACCCAUAUUAGACAUGUUUCUCCAAGGUACCCAACUUCAUAUCGAGAAUGCAACUAAUGAACUCACUAAGCAAUCAUCAAGCAUGAAGUCUCUGAAAUUUGAACUCCUAGCAAAAGAAGAACACAUAAAGGAAAUGCAUGAAAAGUUGUCUCGAAUGGAAAGGGAUAUAACCAUGAAAAGACAUUUGAUAGAGGACUUGAAAUUUCGACAGAAAGUAAAUUUGGAAAGUAAUGAGAGCAUUAAUGAAAUGUUAGAAAAUCUUGAAAAAAAGGUAAAGACAUUGACUGAAGAGUGUUCCAACAAGAAGGUAUCAAUUGAUUCACUAAAGCAAAGACUUAGUGUCGCCGUUAAAGAGAAGUCACAGUAUGAAGAGCUGUAUCAGAAAACUAAAGAGGAAUUAGAAAAAAAGGAUCUCAAGCUUUCUCUCCUAGUAUCAAAAAUAAAUGAGACUGAAUCUGCAAUGGCAGAAAUUGAAACAGCAGCUUCUAAGCAGCUUCAAGGAUUAGCAUUGCAAAGUGAGCAAGCCCUAGAAGGUGCACAGAAGAAACUGCGGAUAGCCAGUGAGAAAGUGGAAGAGUUCACCUUAUUUGUGAAGGCUUUGGUCAAAGAGUUACAAGUUGAUGUCCAUACAAUAAGGCGACAAAUCAGAGAGCUUAAAAGAAUGCAGAGAAAGAAGGAUGCUCAUAAAACCUCAACUCAUAAAGCCCAGACCUUGGCAGCUUCUAUCCUCAACAUUUCACGAUCAGAUCUAGAGGAAAUAUUGGACACAGAAGAUGAAGUGGUAAAAUAUUCCUGUCCAAGUGAAUUUAUGUGCAUGAACUCAAAAGGACAAAGAUAGAUGCUGAAAAUGACAGGGAGUGGCUGUUGUAUAUUCAGAAACUUCUUGAAGGACAGCUUCCCUUUGCCUCAUAUUUACUAGAAGCAGUACUGGAGAAAAUAAAUGAAAAAAAGAAACUGGUGGAAGUGUAUUUCACAAUUAUGAAAGAUAUUAGAUGAUAUUACAAUGAAGAACUUUUUUUUUUCAAAUGUGAAAACUUUUUAUGUGGUGUGAUUGGAAAACAUGCAUUGCAAUCCUGAUACAGUUUCUACUCUGACUGUCAAUAUUCAGGUUCAAUACCAAAAUAGAAGUCUCCAAAACUAAUUAAUUGCUGAACACACGAGUGAAACUAAUUAAGUGCAUAGCCAUUUAAAAGGAAAUGGUGUAGCAUUUGAUUGUUGAAUACAAAUAUUGCCACAAAUCAAUGCAGACUUAAAAAUGAUUUUCCCUUCAGUGUAUUAGAAGAAAUCAGAACCAGCUUGGCACACUCACAUUGGGCUGAACAUAAAAACAAAAAGAUGUAAACAGAGGAUUUAAUAUGUUAAGGUUUACAAAGAAACUAGACUUUUUACAUAAAACUGCUAUAAAUGGCCUUAAAUCAUCCAGUGAGCGAAACAUUUGUAUUGUAAGCAAAUAUAAAAUGAAGCAGCAUAACUUAAGGAUGAGCAUUUAGUGAAAUAAUUUGUGUGGUCCAACUAUAUUUGUUCUCAAUAUUCUGGAUCAUAUAGGAGAUACUGUAUUUCUUAGAACUAUUUGGCAAAAAUAAACGCAUUUUCUCCUUUUCUCUCUCUCUUUUUAAAUAUCAUAUUCUUGGUGUGGUCAUAUAAAUUAGCAAGGGACCACAAACCCAGAGUAUAAAAUUAGGCUAGAUCCUACUGUAGUCAACUAGAGUUAAAUUCUUAACAAUGGUGCCAUCCAUGUUUGAUUCCUUUAAUCCACCAAACUUGUACCUGCCUUCAGUUUCUACCCUUGCUGUUCUCUUUCUAGAAUACUCUGUACUCACCUUUUCUCAUGACUGGCUCCUUCUCAUCCUUCAGGUGCAGGUUCAUCUUAUGUAUUCCUUCAGAGACACAUCCCCUGACCACCUUACACUUUAAUUUCAUUUAUAACACAAAACUGUCUACUUUAUGUGCUCACUUAUUUCGUUAUGGUUUCCCCCCACCUUUAGAAUAGGGCCCAUGAGGUUAGGCUGAGGUUGGCAAAUCUGGCUUGCCACCUGUUUUUGUGUGGCCUCCCAGCUAAAAUGAUUUUUACAUUAUCAAAUGUUUUUUUAAAGGAGAAUAAUGUUUUGUAGCAUGUGAAAGUUAUAUGAAAUUCAGAUUUUAGUGUCCAUCAA